UUUUUAAUUUUUUUUGCGCGUCGUCUCAAACAAAACGCACGUGCGUGACAUAUAUUAACCCCGUUUUCUUAUUUUCCAUGUUUGCGGUACGUUUUCGCUCGCUGCUCAUUAUUCACGCGUCUAGCGGCGGCGUUGUGGCGCGGUUCUGAAAGGGGUCGAGGCCGUGGUAAAUACGUGGUGGUGCGGUUGAGAGGGAGGGGUGGAAACCGUGGUAAACUCGUCUCCGCAGUUGAGCGGGAGUGGCCAAAAACAAUGUGCAAUCGUCUUUGUAGUGGAGCUGGGAGGGGCAAGCAUAAGGGACGAAGGCAGGGGUAACAUGUC
rnacentral:misc_RNA from 1 species